ensembl:lncRNA
AGCUUCCCUCCACGCGUCAACAUCUCAAAACCCAAACAGAAGGUGUUCCGAGUGCAGACAGCGGGCAGGUGUGACCUCAGCUUGAAGCACAUCCAGCUGUGUGAUGCGGGUCUACCUGUAGGAGACCACCCUACCUGUGCAGUUGGGUCCGUAGUGCCUGAGGGAGCACAGGUUGCAGGCUUUGCCCACGAAGCCCUCGUGGCACAGACAGCGACCCGAACCCUUCAUUCCGUCGUCGCAGACACCAUGGUCACCGCAUGGGGCCUCCAGGCCACCUGGACACACUGGAACAAAAGGGAGAAGAGGCGGAGUCAAGUGAGAAAAAACCAAAAGAGACGCUGACGUCUUGAUUUGUUAAACACGGGCGUAACCAGAGAUGCAAUGUGACCCCCAGAGGAUGAAGUCUAGGUAUGACCGGCCCUUUGUGGUGCCCUUGAGACCUCUUGGCAUUAGAAGCUCCACAAAGGGUCAGGCCUUAAGAAUGAACACCGGAGAAGCAAGAGGACACACGAUUUGUGUGGAUCAGAUCAUCCCCACCUUGACAGUCUCGACCGUAGUGGUUCUUACAGCACUUCUGGACCCAGGAAGAAAACUGACAUGUUUUCUUACAGCCCAUCAUUCUGGUAUGAUCAUUGAUGAGGUACCAAGGUGGGUAGCGGCGCCCAAACGAGGAGAACCUGUUAUAACAAAGCUCCGUCUUUCCCUGAAUGAAAGCAGGAUUUACAUGAAUCUCUGUGCAUGGUAAAAAAGCUGCCAAUGCCGAGGUUUCUCUUCCACGUCUUACCGUGUCCAGGUGUCUGAAGGGACAGGCCGGGGGGAAGGGGCAGCGUCCACAGCGACCCUGAGACGUUUUAAGACACAAAGCUUCAGUCCAGCGCUCAAGACAAGGGAUAUCUCCUGAUCUCCACGGACUACUUUUGAGCCAGUAACAGUCUUUAUUUCAUUACGCUGGUGGUUCUGUUCUCCGGGCUGUCGCAGAACGCUCCCAGGCCCGGUGGUUCCAGGAGCUGGUCGAUGCCGUAGGCCACGCCCUCCUUGAAGUUCAUGUAGCGCUCCACCACCUUGGCUGCGUUGUCGUUAAUCAAUACAGCCCCCUGAACACACACACACACACACACACACACACACACAGAUUGUUCUGUGGUCAUUUGAUUGGUAUAAAAGAAGAAUGUUGCUAGCUGUUAUUGUUAACAGCUGUUUACCAUAUAAUAUUAAAUGUAACAUGAUAUAAUAUAGUGUAUCUCGGAUAAUGUUAUAUAAUAAUAAUAGUAACAUAGUAUAGUAUAUUAUCAAGCCACCUGUGUGAGAUCCUUUGCUAAUACGGAGGCACAUCACCUCCAAACCGUACACUGAUCCUUCAGAAAGGCAAACAAUGGCGUAUUGUGUAACCUAGCAACCGCACAGCAUCUCCUGCGCCGAGUUACAGUAUCGGUCAUAAUCACGUCAUCGUUCCCCUCCAGCCUCUCUGAACUGUGCGCUUGGCAGGUGUCUCACCACCAGGGUCCGGUCACAGCUGUACUUGAUGGUGGAUCCGUGCAUGCUGCGCAGCUUUGAGAUUUUGUCCGGCUGACCGAUACCCAGCACCUAAACACACACAUGGGAAACCAUGAGGCCCUGACAUACGACCCCUUCAAGCAUUAGUAUGUU